rnacentral:rRNA from 1 species
GAUGAACGCUGGCGGCGUGCCUAAUACAUGCAAGUCGAGCGAACGGACGAGAAGCUUGCUUCUCUGAUGUUAGCGGCGGACGGGUGAGUAACACGUGGAUAACCUACCUAUAAGACUGGGAUAACUUCGGGAAACCGUAGCUAAUACCGGAUAAUAUUUUGAACCGCAUGGUUCAAAAGUGAAAGACGGUCUUGCUGUCACUUAUAGAUGGAUCCGCGCCGCAUUAGCUAGUUGGUAAGGUAACGGCUUACCAAGGCAACGAUGCAUAGCCGACCUGAGAGGGUGAUCGGCCACACUGGAACUGAGACACGGUCCAGACUCCUACGGGAGGCAGCAGUGGGGAAUCUUCCGCAAUGGGCGAAAGCCUGACGGAGCAACGCCGCGUGAGUGAUGAAGGUCUUCGGAUCGUAAAACUCUGUUAUUAGGGAAGAACAUAUGUGUAAGUAACUGUGCACAUCUUGACGGUACCUAAUCAGAAAGCCACGGCUAACUACGUG